rnacentral:rRNA from 4 species
GAUCUAGCCAUGGGCAGGUUGAAGGUUGGGUAACACUAACUGGAGGACCGAACCGACUAAUGUUGAAAAAUUAGCGGAUGACCUGUGGCUGGGGGUGAAAGGCCAAUCAAACCGGGAGAUAGCUGGUUCUCCCCGAAAGCUAUUUAGGUAGCGCCUCGUGAAUUCAUCUCCGGGGGUAGAGCACUGUUUCGGCUAGGGGGCCAUCCCGGCUUACCAACCCGAUGCAAACUGCGAAUACCGGAGAAUGUUAUCACGGGAGACACACGGCGGGUGCUAACGUCCGUCGUGAAGAGGGAAACAACCCAGACCGCCAGCUAAGGUCCCAAAGUCAUGGUUAAGUGGGAAACGAUGUGGGAAGGCCCAGACAGCCAGGAUGUUGGCUUAGAAGCAGCCAUCAUUUAAAGAAAGCGUAAUAGCUCACUGGUCGAGUCGGCCUGCGCGGAAGAUGUAACGGGGCUAAACCAUG